CUUUGGUCGAGUGACAAUUACAAGUGUUUUCGUUGUUGCGUAAAGUUUUGCUUAUUUUUCUAGUUUUUGUGUAUAGUUUUACUGUGUGUAUAGUCUUAUUUGUUUGUUUUUGUCGUGUAUAUUGUAAGCACGAAUAAGUGGUGUGAAGUAAACCGUACAUAACCUUGUAGUAUCACAAAGCUAAUCUUACGAGCAGAGUCUUCAAAGUAAUUGAUGGAAAACACUCUGACUUUGGCAAUUCCUAUGGGAGUCCAAUUAUAAAAGAAGAAGAAGAAGAAUGCUAAUAUCAAGUGCGAAAUGUGAAUAUAACAUCUUAAAGCUACGGAUCGAAGCAUAGUUACCGUAAGUUGUAU